AAAGUAUUAGGCCAAACCUGUUGUGAAGCAGGGACGGAAAGCUUCAGGUCUUUUGAAAAGAAGAUAGCUGGGUUGCAUUU
rnacentral:ncRNA from 1 species